ACUGUGCCUAUAUCUAGUGUUGGUGCAGGAUAGGUGUUAUAUUGGUUUGACUAAUAUAUAUUGAGCCCCUAUUAUGUACCCUGUAAAUUAUUACUGCCAUUGGAUAUACUAUGAAAGAUGGGGUGGAUCCAAGAUUUUCAGGCCUGAAACAUCUAGAAUUUUGGGAGCCUCUUUAAGAAAAAUAAUAACAGAUUAUGGAUAUGAAUGCCUGCAGCCCCCUUGAGAGAGUCCCUGCUAUUCAGGGCCGUGAAGCUUAAGCUCAUUAGCUUUAUGACGCAUAUGCUUCUGCACAGAAAUAAACCACUUUUGCAAAAGUAACUCUUGGCUGGGUUGGGCUGGGUUCAGCUGCUGAGAAAAGAGGGUUUGGCUUUAGAGCCAGAAAACGUCUGGAGAAAGCAGAAUUGGGACAAAAUGCAGAUUGGUUAUUUCAAAGUUACUUUCCUUUGAAGGAGAAAACAGAGAGGACUUUUAAAUUAAACUGACUCAGGUUGACUGGGAUCUCCUGGGUUUUUUUUUUUUUUUUUUUUUUUUUUUUUUGGAAAGCUGACCCAUUUCAAAGUUCAGUUUAAUUAUGUGGCACUUAGCACAAGUGACUCCAUUCUCCUUGGGUCUGAUGCCGGGGGGGCCUCAGGCAGGUGGUUAAUCCAAACUAAUGACCUCCCAUAAAAUUUGUUGAACACAGGUGUUUUUACAAGAGGCACACAAAAGAGAGACACAGAGAGAAGAUGAGAAGACUGAGGCAGACAUUGGAAUGACGCAACCAGGAGCCAAGGAAUGCCUGGAUCCAUGGGAAGCAGAAGAGGCUUUCUCACCAUGUGAUGCAUUCUGCUAUGUUAUGAUACAGCAAGAAGGGCCUCACAAGAUGUGACCUCUUGUUCUUGGACUUCUCAGCCUCCAGAAUCAUGAGAAAAAAAGGCUCAGCACUGUGAAGACUGAUUGCCACCUCCCCCUUCCCCAGCAAUCUCGUGGAGAUCUGGUCAGAGAAGCUGUUCCAUCUCCCACAAACCUCGUGGCUCAGAAGCAGAGGUGGAGGCUGCAGACCUCAUGUCAGGACUGGGUCGACUAAAAUAAAAACAGUCCCCCUAGUCUGGAUGCCCUGUGUACCUUGCAACUGAGAAAAUGUGAAUGAAACCAUGAAAUACUAUGCAGCCAUAAAAAGGAAUGAAAUUAUGUCUUUUGUAGGAACAUGAAUGGAGCUAGAAGCCAUUAUUCUCAGCAAACUAACACAGGAACAGAAAACCAAACACCACAUGUUCUCACUUAUAAGUGGGAGCUGAAGAAUGAGAACCCAUGGACACAGGGAGGGGAAAAACACACAGGGGCCUAUCAGGGGGUGUGGUGGGGGGAAGGAGAGCAUUGGAAAAAUAGCUAAUGCAUGCUUGGCUUAAGUUCUACGUGAUAGGUUGAUAGGUGCAGCAAACCACCAUGGCACACGUUUACCUAUGUAACAAACUUGCACAUCCUGCACAUGUACCCCAGAACUUAAAAAUAAAAAUGAAAAUAAAAAAUAUUAGAUUUGAAAGGGUUUCAUCAUCUAACAAGAGCUCUUUGAAUCUUACAGAUAAACUCCUUUUCCUGACAUCUGCCAGUGAAAAUUCUGCAUCAGGGUAUAGUCUGUGUGACUAGCUUUGUCUUGAUGAAGGGUUUACUCCCUGCCCCAAAGGGCGAUUGGAAGCAAGGCUGGACCUGUGUGUGUGUGUGCAUGUGUGUAUGUGUGAAGUCCUAAAGGAACCUGGAUAAGUGCAAAUGGAGACUGCACAGGAGUUGAGGCCUCGUGCUGGGACACUCACCUUUGUUGGGUGUGCACUGAAGCUGCAACACCUUUGGGAUUUGGGGAUUGCAGAUGAGGUCACACUUUAUUUCCUCCUUUAACAGACUUCUAGUGACAUUCAGGGAAGGGGCAGAUGUCCCUCCUCCAGCUGGCAGGGCAACAGACAUUAGGAAGGAGGACCACAGUGGGAAGACAAUAAAUACCACGAUGACAGGGUUUUCU
rnacentral:lncRNA from 1 species